rnacentral:rRNA from 1 species
GCACAUGCUGUGAGCUCGAUGAGUAGGGCGGGACACGUGGUAUCCUGUCUGAAUAUGGGGGGACCAUCCUCCAAGGCUAAAUACUCCUGACUGACCGAUAGUGAACCAGUACCGUGAGGGAAAGGCGAAAAGAACCCCGGCGAGGGGAGUGAAAAAGAACCUGAAACCGUGUACGUACAAGCAGUGGGAGCCUCUUUUAUGGGGUGACUGCGUACCUUUUGUAUAAUGGGUCAGCGACUUAUAUUCUGUAGCAAGGUUAACCGAAUAGGGGAGCCGAAGGGAAACCGAGUCUUAACUGGGCGUUAAGUUGCAGGGUAUAGACCCGAAACCCGGUGAUCUAGCCAUGGGCAGGUUGAAGGUUGGGUAACACUAACUGGAGGACCGAACCGACUAAUGUUGAAAAAUUAGCGGAUGACUUGUGGCUGGGGGUGAAAGGCCAAUCAAACCGGGAGAUAGCUGGUUCUCCCCGAAAGCUAUUUAGGUAGCGCCUCGUGAAUUCAUCUCCGGGGGUAGAGCACUGUUUCGGCAAGGGGGUCAUCCCGACUUACCAACCCGAUGCAAACUGCGAAUACCGGAGAAUGUUAUCACGGGAGACACACGGCGGGUGCUAACGUCCGUCGUGAAGAGGGAAACAACCCAGACCGCCAGCUAAGGUCCCAAAGUCAUGGUUAAGUGGGAAACGAUGUGGGAAGGCCCAGACAGCCAGGAUGUUGGCUUAGAAGCAGCCAUCAUUUAAAGAAAGCGUAAUAGCUCACUGGUCGAGUCGGCCUGCGCGGAAGAUGUAACGGGGCUAAACCAUG